CCUACGGGAGGCAGCAGUGAGGAAUAUUGGUCAAUGGGCGCGAGCCUGAACCAGCCAAGUCGCGUGAGGGAAGACGGUCCUAUGGAUUGUAAACCUCUUUUGUCGGGGAGCAAAAGACGCCACGCGUGGCGUUCCGAGAGUACCCGAAGAAAAAGCAUCGGCUAACUCCGUGCCAGCAGCCGCGGUAAUACGGAGGAUUCAAGCGUUAGCCGGAUUUAUUGGGUUUAAAGGGUGCGCAGGCGGAAGAUAAAGUUAACGGUAAAAUUGCGGGGCUCAACCUCUUAGUGCCGUUGAAACUGGUUUUCUUGAGUGAGGGAGAGGUAGGCGGAAGGCGUGGUGUAGCGGUGAAAUGCAUAGAUAUCACGCAGAACUCCGAUUGCGAAGGCAGCAUACCGGCGCUCAACUGACGCUCAUGCACGAAAGUGUGGGUAUCGAACAGGAUUAGAUACCCUUGUAGUC
rnacentral:rRNA from 1 species